GGGCUGAGCACAUGCGGGGCCCGAGUCUGUGCCUCUGCGGUUAUCAGCGAAGGCGCUCGCACACUGACGGCGCUCGCAUCCAUCCUCCCCCAGCCCGGAGCACAGGACGGUCCCUCGCGGCUUCCUGGUAAUGAAUGACCCGAGGGUAACACCAACACAACCUUCGAGAAAAGGCGGACCAUUUCCCCAAGCCCGAGAUCUGCAGGACUGAAAUGAAAUAUUUUGAGCUCUUCUAGCUGACUCAUCAGAAUCCUGGAGCAUUUUUUAAAAUGACGGUAAUUUUCUAAUGUUUUCAUUUAUACAUAUGGAAACACUUGUGUGUGUGCGCGCGUGUGCACGCGUGUUUGCGUGUGAGAGACAUGUGGCUGAAUGACAAUGCAGAUCUGAAACUGUUUGGGGAAGAGGGUUUGUGUUUUCAAAAUGUAGAUGAAG